rnacentral:rRNA from 1 species
GAUAAACGCUGGCGGUGUGCUUUAUGCAUUCAAGUCGAACGGUUCCGAUUUAUCGGAAUAGUGGCGAACGGGUGAGUAACACGUAAGUAACCUGCCCUUAAGUGGAGAAUAACUUCGGGAAACUGAGGCUAAUACUGCAUAUGAUGGUGAGGGUAAUGCCUUGUCAUUAAAGCCUUCGGGCGCUUGAGGAGGGGCUUGCGUUCGAUUAGCUAGUUGGUAGGGUAACGGCCUACCAAGGCAAUUAUCGAUAGCUGGUCUGAGAGGAUGAUCAGCCACACUGGGACUGAGACACGGCCCAGACACCUACGGGAGGCUG